rnacentral:rRNA from 1 species
UACGUAGGAGGCGAGCGUUGUCCGGAGUUACUGGGCGUAAAGCGUACGCAGGCGGUCCAAUCAGUCUGUAGGGACAGGGCACAGCUUAACUGUGUCAGGCUUAUGGAAACUGUUGGACUUGAGGGCUUCAGAGGGAUGGGGGAAUUCCGGGUGGAGUGGUGAAAUGCGUAGAGAUCCGGAAGAACACCAAAGGCGUAGGCACCAUCCUGGGGAGUCACUGACGCUCAUGUACGAAAGCUAGGGGAGCGAACGGG